rnacentral:rRNA from 1 species
CUUUACUGUAGUUUGGAAUUGAUUUCGGGUUUAUUUUGCGCAGUAUAGGUGGGAGGCUAAGAAUUUAUAUUUGCGGAUGUAAAAGAGCCAAUAGUGAGAUACCACUCUGAUUAAACUAGAAGUCUAAUCUUGAUGCCGUUAUCCGGCCAAGAAACAUUUUCAGAUGGGCAGUUUGACUGGGGCGGUCGCCUCCUAAAAAGUAACGGAGGCGUGCAAAGGUUUUCUCAGACUGGUCGGAAAUCAGUCGUAGAGUGUAAAGGCAUAAGAAAGCUUGACUGUGAGACCUACAAGUCGAACAGAGACGAAAGUCGGCCUUAGUGAUCCGACAGUUCUGAGUGGAAAGGCUGUCGCUCAACGGAUAAAAGUUA